rnacentral:lncRNA from 1 species
AUGUAACAUGUUUAUGAUUUAUAUAUUUUUUUCUAUAGCAUAUGAUUGUCAAUGUGCACUCGUGGGUAGAAGGAGAUAUGCAGGUAUUGCAGAAUAAAGCACACUCUAAAGAAGAUGAGAGCAAGCAAUGGCCAAAGAAACCAUCGACAAUCAUUCUUUAAACUUCAAUUUCUGUGGUAAUUAAUAACAACACUGAAGCACCGUGCUUACUCAAAGUUAGAAAAGUAAAAGGAUUUUAUUAAAAUUCUCAUAAAAUUAAAGAUGGGAAAAUGCUUAGAACAAGCAGGUCACAUGUGAUGAAACUCACAAGUCUAUAUCAAUAUGAUGAAUGGAAUGAAUAUCUGAAUUAAAGAUAACUGUCAGUGACAAUAGAAAGUGACAAUAUAAAGUGACAAUAUAAAGCCCAUGCACAAGCUGUUUGGAAGAGGCAUAUAUAAAUCACGUAAAUAAUAAUAGGCUAAUAGUUCAACUUCAAAAUAUGGAAAACUCAACACAAAGAAACUAGUGUAGCUACAUCAAUACUGGGCAAAGUAUACUACAUUUCAUCAUGUAUAAAAUAUAAACUAAUUUCAUAAAUAAAACUUUUAAUUUACUUAAAAAAUGUACUUGAAAAUUGGCAGAUGUUGAAUAAUAUUUUUAAAGUUCACAUAAAGGAAGAUUUUAGCAUACUUCUCUCAAUAGUUCAUAAAUCCAGCUCCAUCUUGGAAAAAAUACAGAAUAAAUUUCAAUAAAACGACUCAUAAAAACGAAAAUAAAGUGGAUCUACUUGGUAGGUUUUUGUGACCUCUUUAGAUGUUGGAUGUAGUUGGAGUUAUUUGCUAUAGUACAAUUUGAAAUAUCCAAA